UGUCUAUGGGUCUGGGCUGAAACUUUAUAAACUUAAUAGCAAGUUGCUGACCAGCUGAACUUGCUAUUUUAUUCAUCUAAUCACGGUGCUGUCAUUCAAGAGGGUUACAGAACUUCAAUGAUGCAUAGGUUCUACUUCAAAGAUCUCUUACAUUUUUUACAUCUUGAGUAGUAGUAGUUUGUAAUAUCUUGAGCCGUAAUUUCGAGUGGCUGUACUCAAAGCAGCUGCCCUUCUCGUCUAUAAAAGUAGAAAGGACUUCUUAGCCGGUCCACAACGAACUUGCUUUCAGAGUAUCCAUGGAUUUAGGAUAGCUAACAUCUUUGUGC